AAAGAAAAAUAAAAAAUAGCGUCAAGAAAGAAAAGUGAAGAAAAUAAUAGGAAUGAUAACAGAAAAUGGAGAAACGUAGCAACAAUCUGGAGAAAAGUGGGUCGAAGAUCAGCCAGGUUAAUCCGGCAGCUGAGGAGAAGUUAUGAUGUAAUUUACAUUUCAAAAACCAGAAGCCAUUCAUUAACGAAUGUGAUUGCACUUUAGUUUACAUAUUUAAAUGUUCAGAUAUUAUGAUUUGAAUGAGGCAAAAUAAUGUGCUUUUUCUCUUAAAUAUAUUGCUAUAAUCAUUUGUUUCAGAUGAAAUUUAAUUACUUUCUGUAUAAAAAAUAAUUUGGUGUUCAAAAAGUCAUUUUUCAAACUUGAGUCUUGAAAAAGAGGGGGUCGUCUUAUAAUCAGGCCCGUCUUAUAUUCAGGCCAAUAGGUACUUCAAUCCUUAGUUGAUCAGAAAGCCUUUGUUAUUGGGUGGAAACUUUGUAUGUCUAUUUUUCACUAAAACUGACUCAAACUAGAGUAAAACCUUUUUGAGUAUUUGUAAACUGAAACCUUUUUGUGUUUUUGUCGACAAAAAACUUGACUAAAACAAUCACAAAUAGGAAUGACGAAAAUGUGACAAAAACUAAUGGCCUUUUUUGCCCAAAUCACUGAAGAGACUAAAUCUAAAAUGGCUGCCAAAAAAACAACACUGCUGAAUUACAAGUCAUAAGAUAAAUGAAUGAAGGCUUUUCUGAACAUCAACAAUCAGAAUCACAAUCAUCUUCAUUAGCCAAGUAUGUAAAACACUCAAAGAAUUUGUCUCAUGUUGCAAUAACAAGCAACUACAAUAAACAAAGACAUGACAUUCAAGUAUCAAAAGACUUUCCAUGAUGUGAGCGCACCAUUGUGCUGCAGCACCACCCAAUGACAGCUGUGCGACAACGUGGAGAGUCAUCGAGCAGAGAUAAAGUGAUCAGUGGUGCAAUACAAUCCUAUGAUGGUUGUGGAGGUGCAGCAGAUAAUAAAGUUUGUCCGCUGUUGAACCUUGGGAAUGUUUUGUUUCCAAACUCUUGCUAGUAUUGGAACAUAUCCGACCACAUUCUAACCCAGCGUGACUUACAUUCGCAGACUAACACAAAGCAGUCACGCAUUUUGACGCACUGUCGUGUAUCUGAUCGUCAUGUAUCGUUUUUUUUCUCACGCAAAUCUUUGUUUUGUAAUGACUACUUUUUUAAGCAGAUGACAUACUUUGUUCUCUCGAUUAUUUUCCAUACGUCUCAUACACUUGACAAGAUUUAGAUUUUUGGAAAUGUAAUAUGUCCUGAUGGUGGUUAUGAAUGAAAAAUGCCAUCUACUCUUGGAAUGAAGUCAAUAAUGGUUAAAUUAAUGCAAUUACAAUUUGGUCUCAACAAAACUCCUAUUCCUCAAUUAAAUGUAAUUGUUAGGUGUUCUUGAGUGCAAGCUGAUUGCACAGCGUCAUGAAUUACAGAGUGAGUUUGUUUCAUUGUGUCACAGUUACGACUUCACUUCCAAAUUGUUAUGUGGAUACAUGUUGGUCAGGCUCGCUGGCCGGUCCACAUUGCCCAUUCAAUUCCAUACGUACAAAUGAAAAACCGGACCAUCACACACGAUGUUUACUAGCCGCUGAGAUAUACUUGAAAUAUAAUGGAGUUGCUGUUUUCAUCUGAUUAUGUGGGGUCAUCAAUCUUUAUAGUCAGAAGCAAAAUCAGAAACGUCAGGAUUGUUAUCAGGGCUUCUGCAAAGCUUGCUGAUGAGCUCAUCAUUCGAAUCAGGUGUACUGAAGGAGGGAAACAUGUCAAACAGGCUGGAUAGGGGCUCUCAAGGACCAGACUUCAGCACCCCUGCUGGAGACGUUUACUUUUUAUGUACUCCACAAUAAUGUAUGGAAAUAACUUCAUGUGUUGAUGCUGCUUUUAUUGUGAAAUUAUUUUGUCGAGUUUUAUCCGUACUUAUGUUCGCUCAAUCUCAACAGUGACAAAACAUGACUUGCGGUCUUUACCACUGAUUGAGCCAGGAUUUUUCAUUUGCAGGAUCCCAGUGGGGGCUAGGUGGUGGAGGGGGUCGGAGAGGGGGGAGUCAAGGCUAUUACAGGGGCUCCAUAGAAUAUGCCAAAGAAUUAAUUUCAUUAAAAAAGUGUUUCGAGGCGAGUCUUGAAAUAUAUUUAAGUGCAUAUUAAGCACAGGCUUGUGUCCAUAAUUUGCAGUUCCUUUGCCUCUUCCCUAUUGUCUUCUUUUCACAUCUACUGUAUGCUCAACAUGCUCAACCCAUAUUGUGUUUUAUUGUUUUUGUUCCUGAUUUUAAAGUGUCCUUGGGUGUCUUGCAUGUUCUCCCCGGGCCUGCUUGGGUUUUAUCCGGGUACUCCGGUUUCCUCCCACAUUCCAAAGACAUGCAUGGCAGGCUGAUUGAACACUCAAAAUUGUCCCUAGGUGUGAGUGUGAGCGCGGAUGAUUGUUCGUCUCUGUGUGCCUGGCGAUUGGCUGGCAACCAAUUCGGGAUAGGAUCCAGCACCCCGCGCAACACUAGUGAGGAUAAAAGUGGUUCGGAAAAUAAAUGAAGGAAUGAAUUAUUAUUAUUAUUAUCAUUAUUAUUAUUAUCGAAGACAACUAAGUGAACCGCCAGGCCUCCCGUUCUGUCUCCCCCUGUUGGUCAUUCUUGUGUUUAUGUUCAUCUGACGUACAAUCCGACACGGGAGUCAGGUUACAGGAAGCCAUUUUAAACGGAAAAAAUAAUACACUGUCUUCAGUAAAAUUUGACAGUUGUUUGACUACCGUCAUGCUAUUUUAAGGUGCAUUGACAUUUUUUUUCAACGUUAGAUUGCCAUUUGGUUAUUGUUUUGUGGGCGGUCUCUUUUGAGUGGUUUUGCAUGUUAAGACACCCGGAGCUGAAGACUUCCUCAUCAAUCAAGUUCUGCAAGGUGGCCAGAUUGGCCAAUUGCAAUUGAGGGAAUCACCCCUCCCUUUCUUUCAAAAGGAUAACAGGGUGGAAGCAUUAGUGUAAUUGCUGCCGGAGGCCAGAAAUAACAGAAGGAGACCAACACCAGGGAUGUCUAAUGAACCUCACUUGUACAGCACUGGUGUGGCCUGGGCACUUGGGACGUAUCAAUGAGUCAGGGGGCUGUUAUCUGGAGGUGCACUGACUGACCCCUGCUGCUGAAACCCCUCUCAUUAGACUCUUUUCCUCUCUCCCAUCGUUGCCUCUCAUCUUGUCAGGGAGGUGUCAGCUGCCUGCUUGGAUUGAGAAAGAGAACCAUCCUUGGGGCUGAAUGAAUGUUAGCGAAGGGAGAGUGAAAGGCACAAAGUAGGUUUUCAAUCCUCACGCCAGGUUUGUCAUCUGAAGCUUGGACAACAGAGGAGAUAUAUUUCUGAGAGCUCUAAUCCACCUUGUCCUCUAUUAUCUGCCUCUUUCUCACAACAAAGAAAAAUACAACAACAAAACUGCGAAUCUGUUAUAUUAAACACUUUCUGAUUAUGGAUAAACUUCAAAGUUUAAUUAUGUGUUUUGUCGAAGCUUCAAAACCUCUCACAGUUGUUAUGCACUUACUUGAUUCUCAUAGAGUGACACAGAGAAGCUGGAACUAUUUGUUUUAUACUUCCUUUUGGCUUUGGCGGUUUAGUGUUCCUGUUGCUUUCUCCCAUAACGUCUGAAGUUACACAUUCCAAAUGCUAACCAUUCCUGGUGGCAAACUCUCACUCACAUAUUUGGAUAUAAAAACCAUAAAACCAAACCUAGUGUUUUUAUAAUAUAUUUAUUGCUCGAUAUGAUGAUUUUUUAAAAAGGAUUUUGCACCUAAUCCACAUAAGGUUAAUAUGCCAUGUGAAUGUGAUGGUAGAGGAUCCAAAUAAAGCAGGGAGGCAGGUAAACCAGGGAGUACCAAUUAAAAUGUAUUAACAAAAAUCAUUAUAGGGGUACAAUUGAAAACUUAAAGUCCUGAAAACCGCAAUGAAUCAAAAUAUCAAGCAAACAAAAACCCAUGACACAAGCACAAAACAUUGUGACAGCAACAGCGAUCCGAGCAAGACUGACAGAAACAUCCAUCCAUCCAUUUUCUGAUCCGAUUUAUCCUUACACAGGUCACGGGGCGUGCUGGAACCUAUCCCAGCUGUCUUCGGCAGUAGGCGGGGGACACCCUGAACUGAUUGCCAGCCAAUCACAGGGCACAUAGAGACGAACAACCAUCUGCGUUCACACUCACACCUUGGGACAAUUUAGAAUGUACCUAAUUAACCUGCCACACGUUUUUGAAAUGUGGGGCAAACCGGAGGACCCGGAGAAAACCCGCGCAGGCACGGGGAGAAUGUGCAGACACCACACAGGAAGGUCGGAGCCGGAAUCGAAGCCUGUACCUCCGCACUGUGGGGCACUGACAGACCCAGGGAACUAAAUACAACACUUGGAGAAGACACAAAGGGCUGGGGGAGCUGAUUGGUUAACAGAAGGCACUUGGAUGACAAGAACAAACAAAAAAAGCACAUUGAGGAAACAAAACCAAACGUCGCCGAAACAAAAACAGAAUCAUGACACAAUCCUCAGCAUUCUUCUUACUUUUUCUUUUCUGAUUGAUAUAAAAAUGAUUUAGUACAUAUAAACACAUAACGG